AGCAGCCGCGGUAAUUCCAGCUCCAAUAGCGUAUAUUAAAGUUGUUGCAGUUAAAAAGCUCGUAGUUGAAUUUCGGGGUCAGCAAGUUGGUCGUGCCACUGGUAUGUACUGGCUUUGCUGAUUCCUCCUUCUUGUAGAACCGUAAUGCCAUUAAUUUGGUGUUGCGGGGAGACUGGACUGUUACUUUGAAAAAAAUUAGAGUGUUUAAAGCAAGCUAACGCUUGGAUACAUUAGCAUGGAAUAAUGAAAUAGGACGUUCGAUCUUAUUUUGUUGGUUUCUAGGAUUGACGUAAUGAUUAAUAGGGAUAGUUGGGGGCAUUAGUAUUCAAUUGUCAGAGGUGAAAUUCUUGGAUUUAUUGAAGACUAACUACUGCGAAAGCAUUUGCCAAGGAUGUUUCAUUAAUCAAGAACGAA
rnacentral:rRNA from 1 species